CCGGCUGGCCUCCCUCAGCCCCUGGCACGUCCGCUUUGCAAGGCAACAGCAAGAAGACACUCCUGUCACUGAACAUCCUGCCAGCCAUCGUUGAUGGAGUCUCUCUCUCAGCGGAGAGGAAAGGGGAGGCUCCUAGCACAAGGGCAGAAGCCCUCUCUCCCGAGGUAUCUGGGGACCAGGAAGCUCCUCUCGCCUUGUCUUUGGAUUCCUCCUCGGACCAGGCUGUCCCUUCAGGAACUGCUGGGGUCCCAGGCAGGGCCCCACCUGGACCAGCCCCAUCAGCACUGGCCUGGCCCACAGCCCACAGAACCCCUGAAUCCCAGCCAGUGUCCUCUGUGGCCGGACUUGUGUCUGGAUCUGUGGCUGGACCUGCAGAGGAGAUGUUGGUCCCUGGAUCUCCAGAGAUUGCUGCCCCAUUACCACCAUCAGCUUCUCUUGGCCCAAGGACUCAGUCUCCUCUACCCCAGGACCCAGUCACAUGACGCGCUCCGUGACCUUCACAAUCACCAAUGAAGCCUUCUCGGCUGCACUCUUGAACCCUGCCUCCUGGAAGCACCAGCUGCUGCGUAAGAUCAUCCACCACCAGGGGCCGACUUGAUCACCCUGGCCCGGGAGACCAUCAGCAUCCGCUUCA
ensembl:lncRNA novel transcript